rnacentral:tRNA from 1 species
GCGAAGGUCGCGGAAUUGGUAGACGCGCUAGCUUCAGGUGUUAGUGUUCUUACGGACGUGGGGGUUCAAGUCCCCCCCCUCGCACCA